CAGAGAAGUUGAAUCAUAUAUCUAGCAGCCAAAGCAUUAAAAGGUUCUGAAGACGAAGAAAGAUUGUUCAGACUGCACUUGUUCCAAUUCAAUGGCAUAUCUGUCUUCGGGAGCUUCUCAAAUAAUAUAUGCGAGACAAUACAGGCAUUCUGGAAGUAAUGCAAUUGUUGCUAGAACAUCUAACAUGGAAAUGCGGCAACUACGGGACUGUGGCACAAAUCAUAGAAUUUCAAAGCACCAGUUAAACAUGUGGGCUAUUGCAGGAAUUAAGAAGAACAAGUUUGUCAAUAAAAUUGUCGUAAAGGCUGUAGCAGAAAAGGAAAUGUCAAACAAUACUCCUCAUUCCAAGUAUGAUGUUUUUGUAAGCUUUAGAGGCGAGGACAUCCGCCGAGGCUUUCUCAGCCAUUUGGUUGAGAUAUCUUCUCGAAAGCAAAUAAAUGUCUUUGUUGACGACAAACUUACGAGGGGAGAGGACAUAUCAGAUUCACUUUUUCAAGCAAUUGAAGGGUCAUGCAUUUCAUUGAUCAUAUUCUCAGAAAACUAUGCUUCUUCACGUUGGUGUUUAGAAGAGCUUGCCAAAAUAAUUGAGUGCAAAGAGAAAUAUGGACAGAUUGUAAUACCUGUUUUCUAUGAAGUAGAUCCUUCAAAUGUACGAUAUCAAAAGAAGAGUUAUGAAAAUGCAUUUGCUGAACAUGAAAAAAGGUAUAAGUCCAAGGUGCAGAUAUGGAGACGUGCUUUGAAUAUAUCUGCUAAUUUGUCAGGAAUUACAUCAUCAAGUCUUCAGAAUGAUGCUGAGCUACUUGAAGAAAUCAUCAAUGUCGUGGUGAAGACAAUGAGUAACCACCCUAUUAUCACAAAAGGACUUAUUGGAAUUGGUAAAACAAUUGCACGUUUAGAAUCAUUGUUACGUCAAGAGUCAGAAAAGGUUCGUGUCAUUGGAAUUUGGGGUAUGGGAGGCAUUGGCAAAACUACUGUUGCAGAAAUGUAUUUUAACCAAAAUUUCUCUGAAUAUGACGGUGGUUGUUUUUUGGAAAAGGUAAGUGAAGAACUCGUACGGCAUGGAAUAACAUAUUUAAAAGAAAAGCUUUUUUCUACACUAUUAGCUGAAGAUGUGAAAAUCAAUUCACCAAAUUGGCUGUCGGAUUAUACUGCGAAAAGGAUUGGCCGCAUGAAGGUUCUUAUUGUUCUUGAUGAUGUUAAGGAAGAAGACCAACUUGAGAAGUUAUUUGGUACUCUUGAUUGGUUUCGACCCGAUAGUAGAAUAAUUGUAACAGCUAGAGAUAAGCAAGUACUUAUUGCUAAUAAAGUUGAUGAUCAUGAUAUAUUAGAAGUUCGGGAAUUGGAGCCUAGUGAAGCACUUGAGCUUUUCAAUUUGAAUGCCUUUAAACAACGUCAUCUUGAAAGGGAUUAUUAUGAUUUAUCAGAGAGGGUGGUCAAUUAUGCUAAAGGAAUUCCAUUAGUUCUUAAAGUUUUGGGUAAUCUGCUUUGUGGAAAAGAAAGGGAAGUAUGGGAAAGUCGGCUAGAUAAACUUAAGAGAAUGCAAAAUCCUGAAGUUUAUGAUGUACUGAGACUCAGUUAUGAUGAUCUUGAUCAUUUAGAGAAAAAAUAUUUUUUAGAUAUUGCUUGUUUCUUCAAUGGGUUGAGUUUGAAAGUGGACUACAUGCAACUUUUAUUGAAAGAUUAUGAAAGUGACAAUUCAGUGGUUGUUGGGUUAGAAAGUUUGAAAGAUAAAGCUCUUAUAACUAUUUCUAAAUAUAAUGUAAUAUCUAUGCAUGACAUGAUACAAGAAAUGGGUAGGGAGGUUGUUCGCAAAGAAUCCAGUGAAGAUCCUAGUAAACGCAGUCGAUUAUGGGAUCCUGAAGAAAUUUGUGAUGCAUUUAAAAAUGUUAAGGGUACUGAUGCACUGCCAGCUAUUAGAAGCAUAAGGGCAGACUUGUCAGUAAUUAGGAAGCUGAAGUUAAGCUCCCAUGUAUUUGCCAAGAUGACCAAUCUGAAAUUUUUGGAUUUUAAUGGUUGGUACGAUCAAGAAUGUUUUGAUCUUCAAGGGCCUCAAUCUUUUCCAACUGGUCUAAGAUAUCUUCAUUGGAUACAUUAUCCUCUAAAAUCAUUCCCAGAGAAGUUUUCUGCAGAGAACCUUGUUAUAUUGGACUUGUCACGUGGCCUAGUGGAAAAGCUUUGGUCUGGAGUGCAGGAACUAGUUAAUCUAAGAGAAGUUCGACUCUCUAAUUCAGUAUUACUGAAGGAGUUACCAGACUUUUCCAAAGCCACAAGUCUUAAUGUAUUGCUUAUGGAACAUUGUACUGGGUUGGAAAGCAUCCAUCCAUCUAUUUUCUCUCUUCAAAAGCUUAUGCAAUUGGACCUAAGUCUUUGCUUUUCCCUUGCAACAUUUACAAGCAGUUCCCAUUUAAGCUCCCUCCAUUAUCUCAACCUUGGAUUUUGCACAAAUCUUAGUAAAUUCUCAGUGACUUUGGAGAAUAUAAUAGAAUUAGAUCUAACUGCCAUUCCCAUCAAUGCACUGCCAGCAUCUAUUGGAUUUCAAAGCAAGCUAGAAACCCUGGUUUUAAAACUCACUGAAAUUGAGAGCAUACCUUCAAGUAUCAAGAAUCUUACAAGACUAAGAAAACUAGACAUACAACGUUGCAAAAAGCUUCUGGCUCUACCUGAGCUUCCUUCAUCACUUGAAACUCUACUUGUUGAAUGUAUAUCAUUGAAGACUGUAAUGUUCCCUUCAACAGCUGCUGAACAAUUCAAGGAAAACAAGAAAAGGGUUGAGUUCUGGAAUUGCUUGAAUCUGGACAAACGUUCUCUCAUAAAUAUUGGGUUUAAUAUGCAAAUCAAUUUGAUGAAGUUUGCAUAUCAACAUUUACUGACACUGGAACAUGAUUCUGUUGAAAGUUAUGUUGAUUACAAAGACAACUAUGCUUCUUAUCAAGCAGUGUAUGUGUAUCCUGGAAGUAGUGUUCCAGAGUGGUUCGAGUACAAGACAACAAAGAAUGAGAUGAUUGUUGAUCUCUCUUCUCAUCUCUCGCCUUUGUUGGGCUUUGUUUUUUGCUUCAUCCUUGUUGAAGACUCCCAACAUUGUUACGGAAUUGAAUUGAAAAUCACUACAAUUGAUGCUGAGGGUGAUGGUGAAAAGGAUGGUAUAAUUAUCUACAUGAAUAGGUCAUGUUUCUAUAUUGAAUCAGAUCAUGUGUGCAUGAUUUACGACCAACAAUUUUCUCACUACCUAACCAGCAUAGCAAAAAAUCAGACAAGGUUUAAAAUCAAAGUCACAGCAAGGAGACAAACCAAGACAUAUAGAGAAAUACCAGAGGUGGAGCUAAAAGGGUUUGGCAUCAGCCCUGUAUACAACUCAACAUACCACGAUCUUAUUCACCAGAUGAAGAGGUUGAUUUAGACACAAGUCUAUAGUUUGAUUAGAUUUUGAUGCAUUAGUUACGGCAUUUCCAAUAUCUGUGACAGGUAAAGAAGGAUAGCUGAAGGGGAUUACCGAAGUACUGGUAGAAAUUCAGCUCAUCGAGUGUCCUGUAUAUGCAACUGAUUGCAAAUGUGUUAAUUGCAAUGACAUGGGCCGCGCCUUUUGUUAUGACAAGGUCUGGUUUGGCCAGAGAAGGAGGAUCAAGUUCUGUCAGGACAACUUUUGCCCUGACAACAGGAGUGGGUUCGUUCGGUAUGGUCAGUUUUCUGGGCUAUUUCAGGUUCUGGCUCAGCCAAGGAAGUAGGAUCAGGUUCUGUCAGGACGGGUUCAGACGGGACAAUAGGUGUAUGUUUGGUCUAGGUAGUUUCUAGUUUGGUCAAGGAAGCGGCAAAUGCUAAAUGUCCAAAAACUUUUAGUGGAAUGGAGGUUAGAAUUUUGUUGGUUGGAAGGAUUUUUUAGAGUUGAGUAAGGUGUGUCAAACUCAAAUAGGAGAACUCGGGAAGACAUGCGGUUAAUGAGGUAGUUGGCAGAUAGGAUAACAUCUCCCCAAUAUUGUUUUGGCACAUUUGGGACAAUCAUGAGGGAUCUUGUCACUUCUAGUAAGUAACAAUUUUUCCAUUCUGCUACACCGUUUUGCUGAGGGCUGUCAACACAGGAACUUUGGUAUCAUCUGGACACUUUUUUGUGACCUUCUUCCUUGUAUUCUCUGUCUCGAACACUUCUAUGCAGAAAAUCAUUGUAUAAUAAUACUAAGUAAUUGAUUUGCAGAAAUCAAAGUAAACAUUCAUUUUGGUAGUUAAAUAUGUGAGAUGCUAUAAUGAUAGUCUAUGAAUGUAUCAAAAUUAUAAAAACAUACCUAAACGUGUCUUUUGUUACUUAGGAUUCUUGAAUGUAACUUCCGUUUGUCAAUUUGGUUUAUAAAGUUACUAACGAAAGACACACCUGGGGAUACUUUUGUAGUUUUGAUACAUUCAGGAAUAUUGUAACGUCUAACAUCUGUAUCUGAACUCCAUAUGAGUAGAGACCAAAUCACUGAUUACUCGCAUAAAUCAUAUCUAGAUAUUAUUGAGGUA